UGAUUGCUCAAGAAAACUUGAGUAUACCUGAUAAAAGUUUGUUGAUUUGUAAUUUGGAGCUUAUUUGUUUAGAGAGUGUGUGUAGAUGAUCUUGUAAAUGCUUGAGUGUGAAUAGCAAAUGAGUCUGUUUACAGCAUUACAUGGGCAAAAGCGAAUAUACUAAAUAUAAAUGAUUUAAUAGUUUCUAUCUGGAUUUAGUACAUAGCAUACAAUAAAUAUCAAUGCAAAGUGAACUUGCUCACAAUGUGAAAGUAAAGUAAAUCAAUUUUUAUCAUUUUUAUUGAUUAAUUGCUAUAGUCUAGCAUUGUUUUUCUCGUGGGUAGGUCUAUUUUUGUUUUUACAACUUGACCAGGCGUUCUGGAGGAUUUUUCUGAUAUACAGAUUUUUUCCUUCCCGUAUCGAUCAUCUUGAAAAGGAUUUUGCAUGUUGUAUGGUGUUGCUUAGUAUGCUAAAAUUCAGAGUCCAAUACUGACUGGCAUCAUUGGAGGGGACUGUGCAUGCCCCGUGCGAGUUGCCUUUCUGAGUAGGGAACUGCCUAUAUCUUGACAUACCCCGAACAUGUUUACUUAAUACUGACAAAGUUUGAGCUGGUUGCUGCUUGGCUACAUUAUGACAUACUCUGGAGCAUGUUUAGCUAAUACUGACAAACCCCAAGCUGGUCAUGUCUUGCUAUGUUGUAUCACCUUUAAUGUUUAUUACCUUUAUUGCCUUAACCUUGUUUGUGCAACUGGAUUUUGCUCUUCCGCCUUUUAUUGUCUCUCUCUUCUAUUUUUAAAGCAUAUAUAGAUGUUGUUUAGCCUGCCUGUUCAUUUAUUUUCUUCUGCCCAAAUGAAGCAAUCAGCCGCUUAUCCAGGAAAUGUAUGUUGUGGUUGCAGGUACAUACAGAGCACCUGUGCAACCUCUGGUGAGGGGUUGUAUGAGGGGCUGGAUUGGCUCUCCAACAACAUUGCCAACAAGGUGCACAUCCAUUGCCUCUGUAAUUAUUUAUUAUUUGAAUUGUAUCACUUAACUCUUUAAUUAACUCACAUGGUAGGGCUGCUCGCACAGCCUUGUAUGUGGAGGCAUGUAUCUAUCGAGUGCUUUGAGUCUACCCUUGUAUGUUGGGCUCGCUUAUUAGGAUAAUGCUAUAAUUCACAUGUUUGCAUAAAAUUAGAUUUGUGGGCCCUGGUCUAGCAUAUCAGCAUUGUCCCUUUGAAGCCUCCCCAUCCACUCAUGUAUGUGGCAUGCAUUGGAAUGCAUGCAUUGUGAUGUGCACAAGAUUUACGUGUGGGCGCCCUGGAACCUUCUUAGGGUUGUGGAAAUUUCUACUUGGUAUUUUCUAAGUUGUGACGCAUUCUGACUGUCAUUUUUGUUUAUUUCCAGGCUUAAAAUUUUCAACGUUGCUGGGCAAAGCGUUUGAAAUAUAAAUCUGGGUUAUAUAUGCUUCUUGCAGUUGUGGUGGGUGUUUGGUGUAUGACAGUCUUUUAGCCAUCAGUUUGUUGGCCAAGGAUGAUUUACCCUCUAUUUUCUAGGUUUCUUUCAUUUUAUUGUACCUUUUGGGAACCUUUCUUUUUCCGUGAGCUUUGUAGUAUUUGACUUAUGCAGUCUGCAGAGUAGUGUUAUAUGUUCUCAUUACAUUUUCAGUGGUUAUCGUACAGGGCUGUGUUCUAUUUUGGGUUCUAGUAGUGGCUCUGCAUAGAUGUUGACCCUGCUAUUGUUUGCCUUAUCACAGUGGCUGCGCUGACAGAUGAUGUGCUCAUAUGCUGCGCCAAAAGAUCGUGUUAUGGGUCUGAUUCAUGUGUAGCCAAUCUGUGAACAAAUAUUUCCACGCCAUCUUAAAUUUCAGGGACUGGAUGUCUGCCCAACGAGUUGUGCAUCAGACCUGUUAAUAUUCUAGAUCAGCCAUGCCGGAUCCCUGAAACUCGGUUUACCUAGGUAAGGAAGAGGGUGACGGCGUGCAGCUCAAUCACCAUGAGUGUGAACAGUUUACGUCUAUAAAGCCAUGCACUGAAAACCUGCAUCUGUGCGCUCUGACAAAUGAUCAUGAUCAUUAAACUUUUUUAUUAAGAUGCAGAAUUGUUCUGGAUAAGAGUAACGACUUAUCCCGUCGGUUGCAUUCUUCCUCCAUAAGGAGAAGGUUCUAAGUUCAAAUCCUAAGCGCUGUUCCCCAGCUGUCUGACGUGGAUAGUUUUUUCAUCAUUUUUCAUGGUGUUCAUGAAAUGAUUGUUGGAGAUACUGGCUGUUCCCCAGCUGUCUGACGUGGAUAGUUUUUGCAUCUAUUUUCAUCAUUUUUCAUGGUGUUCAUGAAAUGAUUGUUGGAGAUACUGGCUGUUCCCCGGCUGUCUGACGUGGAUAGUUUUUGCAUCAUUUUCAUCAUUUUUCAUGGUGUCCAUGAAAUGAUUGUUGGAGAUACUGGCUGUUCCCCAGCUGUCUGAGGGGGAUGGUUUUUGCAUCAUUUUCAUCAUUUUUCAUGGUGUCCAUGAAAUGAUGAAAUGAUUGUUAGAGAUACCGCCACCGUUGUUCUCAUUUUUUUUUUAAAAUAAUAUCAUAUAUUUCAAAUAUUAUAGGUUUUAAGGGAUAAUGGUAAGAAGUUGCAAAAAUGCAACAUAUCCUAUUUAGCAAUUGUAAUGUGAUUGUUUCUUGGAAUUAUAUUUGACCAUUCAUUUGACAUAAUUAUCGUUGCUGGUGCUAUAAAAGCUUUGGAUGAGGCCGUGGCAAUAAUCAAGCUUUCAAGUCAUAUAUGAGUUACUGAAAUAUAUACUUAUUUUAUAUAACAACUAAUAUGAGAAAAUCUGAAAAAGCUUGUAGAAAAUGAACAGAUUUUGAAGAAAAUCAAGGCACUGCUUGAAGCAUCAGUGUUGUUUGGGUAUUUAUAAUGAAGAACAAAAUUUCUAUCAAUUAGAUUGUGAUAGAAGUCAAAAAGGAAAAUACGGUGGAUUACGUGAGUUAAAUAGAUAACUUUAGCUCCAUGCAGUCUUGGCUUGCGAAACCAACCUAGCAAUUAUUCAAUAAUUUCUCUCUCCACCUCUAAUCUAUCAGCUUCCUUGUACCGAAAAAAAUCAAUCAGCUUGCAGAAUAGCAUUAAUGGAACUCCCCUUAAGAUGGAUGUGAUCCUUGAACAUGCCUACGAGGGUAAAAUUUUUUUGGUGGAAGCGGCUAUGGAACAGACUUCCAUGAAAAGAUCUACCUCACUAAGGGGAAUUAUCGAGGGCGGAAACAAUUGCUGUGAUUUAUGCCAUGAUGUGGUUGAGGCCAGCAAUCAUGUGCUGAGUGAGUGCACGUUUGCUUCGAGUUGUUGGCACCAGCCGAGAAGAACCUUGGCAAUCAGUUUUGUACCAACUUCUCUACCGGGUCUGGUAGAUGUUAUGUCUGCUGCCGGGGUCGAGGGGGAAUGUAAAUCCUUAAUGGUUUUAAUGGCUUAGACUGAUUUGGACAGCUCGAAAUGAAAGGAUUUUUCAAAAUGUCACACAGUCCCCUGCUCAUUUAGUGACUAAAGCCUUCAGCUAUCGUAUUCCAAAUGGGAAUGCAAAUGACCACACCAGUGAGUGUUCGUCCGGAACUGGGGAAGCAGUAUUCUGCUAAAUAAAGGCAGAAAUCCAUCUUCCCUUGUUACAUGGCUACCUCCUACCCCUGAAACCUUAAAGGUGAACUUUGAUGCUGCUGCAACAUCAGAUAAAGCGCUGCUGGAUUUAUCAUUAGACAUAGGGAAGGCCAAUUAAUUAGAGCUGGUGGAAAGAUGCUGCCGCCCUCUGCGAUCCCCUAUGCUGAACUUGUUGCAGCAUGGGUGGGAUUGCGAACGACGUGUUAUCGAUUUAAAUGCAUCAAAUAUAUGGCUGGAGGGCGACUUCAUAAAGGUGAUAUCAUGGCUUGCUAACUCUUCCUUGGGCAGGUCCUUGCAGAUGCCACUACCUAAAGAUAUUUUACACUGGAAAGCAAACUGGAACAGAUUCAAAUCAUCACACGCAUUUCAGGAGGCAAACAGGGCGGCGACUUCAUUGCAAAAUUGGCUCUACAAGGGGACUGCAGCUGGGGAAGUGGAGAUCCUAUUCACCGAGAUUUACUGUUUAUUUUGCAGGAUGACGAGGUUGGCAUAGGCUACCGGAGAUCAUAGCCGAUAGCAAGAGGAGAAAGGAUCAAUACUUGCUGCUGCAUAGCUCGUUUACUGUAGUAGACGGGACGAUACAAGGAAUUCGUUACAAGAUAGGUUUGCUCAAUGGAUGGUGACUCGCUAAACACUGUAUGAAGAAGCGGUAACAGGUCCAUAGAAGCUUCUUCGUCCAACGCAGGAACCAUUAUACCUGUAGACUGUUACAUUUUGCUAGCAGAUCUGAUUUAAUCUGUAACUAAGACAGUGGGGUGUCGAUUAGCAGUGAAUGGAUUGUAAAUUAUAAACAUGGGUUGUAAGAGUGUAUGGACUGAGUUGUAUGUUUCUAUUACUAAUGCAAGCGUCAGCUCCUUCCGUCACCAAAACACACACACACACACACACACACACACAUGGUGGUUGUUUUUAUUGCUACACUUAAGAAAGAGAAAGUCCUUUUUAGCAUGAUAUUUUAAUAUCUUAUCAAUAACAAAGAGGAAAAUAAACAAUGAAAUCUCUGUGCUCAUGGGCCGCGCAUCUCUUAAUUACUCAGGGAUGUUUCUCUUUGGGCCCGGAAAUGUGCUCUUUUGAAGCCCUUGAUUCUCUUCCAACCUUGAACUCCAAAUGGUUUAUUCUAAUCUAAAUCAUCUGAACUGGUCACUAAUAUAGACAAACAUACAAAACCUCAUUUGUCCAUGUUUCUAAACUGGUCACUAAGUCAUCAGCACUCCUCAUUUGUCCUUUCCCCCUUCCUUCCAAGGCAAAGGCCAGUCCCAAUACUCUAGAAUAUAGACAAACAUACAAAACCACUACAAAACAGUCGAGGUCCUUGGGGAGAAACUCAGUAAUCAAUUACCGGAAGGCAGUCAGAUCAUUCUUGGAUUAGCUUCUCGUUUGAUACUCCUCUUUCACGCAAUAAGCUCUCCUGGUUGAUUCUUUUUUGCUUAUUGACACCAUCCAAUUAAUUUUAUCAUACUUCAAAAUCUCAGAUAAUCUUGUAAGCAGAACCACUGAUUGAUCGUACAGAUAGGCAAUGCUAAACACCCACUGAAAGAUUUAUUCCAAAAAUGGGCAAAAAUGUAAAAGAUGGUAACACUAAUUUUUUCAUGAUAGAAACCCGGAACAUAAAGCAAGCCUAUUUGAACGAUUAUCUUCAGCUUCAAGAGACGCGCUUCAAUUCUUCCUGUUCCUAAGUCAGAUAAAUCCCAAAUACAGAUCACCAUACACAGAAAGAAACGACCAAAUCCAAAAAGAAAAAUGUCUAGUCGCAGUCAACAAUUAGAUAUAAUUUAUAUACCCUUUUCCUCUCACAUAGAAGGUACUAGUUUCAUGUAUUGGUUGGCUGUAACCAGUAGAUUCUUUUGGAGCCCCCACUCCAGUUGCUAAUGACCAAAACAGAACUCAAACCUGGAGCUGUACAACUUGAAAGAGUAUAUACCAGUGCACCUUCUAAUAUUUAGCCAUAAAACUACAAACUUAUCCCACCAUGCAAACAAGAAUGUUCUUUAAAAAAAUCAACAUAAGAGCCUCUAUGAAAAACCACGGUUCCAACUUCCAAGUCAUUCAAAGACCAACCAACUAUUAAAGAGAUAAUUCAAUCUAAGUUACAUACAAACUAGAGAUUGGAAAGAAAAUCCAACUAGAGAAACACUCUGCAUGCUUGGAUAGAUCACAUGCACUGAUAUUAGUUUAACAGACGACAAUGUUUCCUUUCUGUUUCUAAAUCUACCCAUUGUUAAUGUAGACUCAUGUACACUGGAUAUCUGAAUUAUACUUAAUUUUACAAGCUUACAAUAAUCAACACAAUGACUAUUGACAUAAUAUUGAGAGGUUGCAGGUGCUUCGAGCACAAAAUGUGCAUGCAAAUAUUGGGCAGCCUUAUUUCUCGAAUCUAAUAUUCUUAGUCUACUUUAUGCAGUGAGCAAUGAGUGUACCUGCUCCUCGCCUCAAUAUGAAUGCUGUCAUGAAGACAACAAAAAAUGCUGUGAAACCAGUAAGACCAUGUGCUUCAAGUCAACAACAUUACUUUCACCAAUUGCUGCCUUCUGGUGAUCAAAAAAGAUUCAUCAUCUGAAGAAAAAUUAAUUGACAGAAUGUUAUGUCUAUCCAGAGGUAGACGUAGCAGAAACCCAAGCACCCACGAGUCCAGUAGUCUUAAUCCUGCAAAUGAACCAAGUGUCAAUAUAUAUGAUUGUAUAUGAUCCAUUUUUCCUGACAAUAAUAUAAAGCUGGAGGGUUAAAAAAGAAACACAUCUCAUCGAUGAUGCCCAAAUAAAAACAUAGGAAGAUGAAAAUUCUACCCAGUAGAAACUCAUCUUUAAACAAUACAAACUACUUCAGAUGAAUUUUUGGAAUAGGUUAAUGGGGUCAGGCUUUACUAGAAGACGGGUGACAAAAAAGAAUGCAAAGCAUGCCAUCACAUUCAUGCAUAUUCAUCAUGUUAAUCUGAACCACAAGCUAUCACAUGUGAUGAAAACAUGAAAUUUUAAACCACAAUGAAAGGAUCCACAAAAUCUGUAUGGUCCUCCAAAUAGGAAAUAUGAUUUUUGUCUCCUUUUAAUAAAUUGAUCUCUAUUGUCUGCAGAGAAAAGUAACCACUCCCAAUGGAUGUUGACGAAACAGGAGGCAACAAAAGAUGCAGUCCUCGAAUGUAUAACUUGUAGCUUUUAUAAAGAUGGGGUGCCCAAACUUUAGUAUACAAGUCAAGCACAAGAAACCUCAUAGCAAAAUUAAGAUGGUAUCUGAAUUCACCAUAACCGUACUUACGAAUAUAUAUCACUUGGAUCUAUUUCUUUGAAUAAAUUAAUGUAAAAGCGGAAGCCAUCAGGGCUAACAUCUCUGCAUAAAAGACCUAAAAAAAUAUUGAUGUUAGCUAAAGCCUCGAUAAUUUUGAGGAAAUAAGAAUCUUUUGGGAAAUAUAGGCAAUUCAACUAUGCAUACCUUUGCUUUCAGCAGUUAGCAUGUGUUCCUUGGCCAGAGCUGGUGCAAUUCCUAAUGUCAAUGCAGCAUCGCUGGGGCUUAUUCCCAUCAGGAGGGCAUCUGGCUUCUGUGCAAGGGAUGUGAUUCUUGCAAAAACCUAUAUCAGAUAAAACUUAUAACCAUGAACCAUGAACCUGCGAGCCAAGAGUAGGAAAGGCAAAGAUACAGGAGAAGAAAAAAAUAAACAGACAAAUAUAUGAUAACAAUAUCUACUCAAGUAUGUACAUUCUAAAAAAAAUGAGUUAAAGAUAUGCUGGUUUCCCAAUUAUUUUCAAAUUUGAUGUUUCUCAUGCCACUUUGUCUCUUUAUCAGUAUAUAUAUAUAUGUGUGUGUGUGUGUGUGUUUAGAUAUAUAUGUAUAUAUAUGCAUGUAUAUGCAUCUAUGUAUAUAUAUGCAUCUAUGUAUGUGUGUGUGUGUGUAUUAUGUAUGUAUGUAUGUAUGUAUGUAUGUAUAUAAUCUGUUGGAAGUGUAUUUACACACCAAAAGAUUAAAAAUCAUUAGAUCAGCAUGGUCCAUCAAAUCUACCAUUUGAUUGGCAUAUACAUGGUAUCUCGCCACAUCAAGGAAAAGCUUUUCUCCUCACUGGAUAAGUUGUGCCAUGAUGCACAGUAAGUGAUGCAGCAAUGGAUCAUUGAGUCAUCUAGCAUGUGAGUAGGUUGAGGAUGGUGAUGUUACAAGAGGGGAAAUGUUAAAAUUGUUUAAGUAAUUAUAUUGCACUUAGAAAUGGCAGUUUUGUAAUUUCCUCAUCUCUUCCUAGAGCCCAAACAGGAGUGAACUUUUGCCCAACAACCAGCUGGUAUUUGAAACUGUGGAUUUUCUCUAAUUUUGAGCAUAAAUGAUUAGCACUAGAGAAGGAAAAAACAAAUUAACUCGAUUAGAGUCUAAAUCUGAUAUGGUCGAUUGGUUUCUCAUUGGAUCGAAUAAAAAAGCACGGUUCUAGAGAGGUAAAAUGCUACCCAACGAACCAGUAGCAGCCAAAAUGCCUUCUCUUGUGCUAGACCUUGAAGGAAAUCUUGCCUGGCCUCUUCUAGACUUCGGAUUGAUAUGAAAAUUUCUCGGGAUAAGCCCAUUAAAAUUCGUAUAUGAGCAACAUGGUCAACAGCUAGCAUCCAUCUGGGAUCCCAUUGCCUCUGUCCUCCUCUAUAUAAAGUGCUAGAGGCUGGGCUAGAGAGGCAGUGAUCCAAUCCAAGGUUCCGAUGCCAAAUGGACACUCUGUGCUGAGGUUGUUAAGGGUCACAAACAGCUUAACAAGAGAAGAAGACAAGGUUCUGCCAAGAGAAACCACUCAAGAAGGAAGCUGUGCACUCCCUGUUUUCGCAACUUAGCGAGGAUGAGUUCAAGGAGAAAACAGAUCUGGGAGAUUCUACUCUCUUGUGAGUUCAAGAACAGAAGAAGAAGAGGGGGGGAGGGGGGUUGUUUCCUUUUAUUCACACUAUACAUUUGCUUCUUCCAAUUCUUUAUGUUAUUUCCCGCCCAAUCAUCUGCACCUUUUUUUAAAUCUAAUAUACAAUACACUAUUCAGCUUUUCACCAACAACAUUUUAGCUACACACAAAGAAAAUCAUCCUAAAUGUUAGCUCUGUUCACUUGGAUAUACGAUGCUAAAUAAUUAAUGUCAUCAGAUGCUAUAUCCACAUUGGCUGAACAUAUGAACAAAUCUAUGAAGCUAAUUGCUUGUUGGAGUUAUCAUAGAUAUAGCCAGGAGUAAUGACUGUUUUAGAUCCUGUCGUUUACUUCUUGAUAGGCCCAUACAACUGAUCAUUUUGUUGUUAUUCCAUGCAAGUCUAUGAGGGCCAUUGCUUGGUUAAAUGGUAAAAGGCCUGGGCAUACAAGUGCAACAGCACAGGUUCGAGUCCUAGGUUUGUCCCUAGUUUGCCCCUCCCAGGACCCCAGAUAGCUAUGGGCCUGAGAUCUUUAUUGGGUAAUGGCCUUUUUCUUUUUUUUCCCCCAUGCAAAGUCCAUGGUCUCAUGUGCUUUCCUUGGACCCAAGAUAAUGAAUUUGCAUUGCUUGUUGCCAUCCGAUGUGCAGUUCAUGAAGAUGGCAUGAUUGAGUUGUAAUAACAUACCAAUAAGCUAUAACCCAUGUUUGACAAGGUCCCACCAUAUAUCAAGCAUAUUGAGCUCUCAAAGCAAUAGUUGUUGUCAUCCUAGACCCUAUCAAUUAGGGUUUGCAGGUUUAGCUCUUGCUCUACUAUCUAUUUAGAUUGUGUCGUUGCAGAGUUGACAUAUGUAGAACCACACAUGUCCAUUUUCACAAUAUCUUUUGUUUAUCAAUUACUUUUGAUUUUAUUAUGUGCAGUACAUCACAUGUAUUCUAUCAUAUUUUAUCUACCAUAGUUGCUUGCAUAAUAAUAAUUUGUUAAGGGAUUCUUGAUCACUUAGUUGUAGCUGUUCUUAGAAAGAGAAUGUAAGUAACUGAGAUUUCUUUAGAAGCCUCAAGAAACAGGUCACCCACACUACAUAUUCAAGUGAUCAAAACAGGUUCAGAUAUCAGAAACAAGUGACUAUCAAGUUCAGGCCAUAAUUAUUAAGACAAUAAGUACAGAAACAAUUUAUUGAUCAGAAAAUAACCAGCAUUAAGUUAUGCAAAUGAUACAUGGGACACGAAAGUGGAAUAUUUGUACUGUAAUCAAAACAUGACAAAAUAUGGAAGAGGCAAAUAUGAAAUACCUCGUCAUCACUGUGGGCCUUAUUCUGAAUAACCAUUACGCCACUAUCAAAUUUCCUAAGCAUUACUGGGCUGUUAAUUAGAAAUUAAUAGCUAUAAGCACAGGCUGAAAAUGAAAAAAAAUAAAGGAUACUUCAGGGAAUCUAUCACAGUAUAGUAGCGGGUGGUAAAACCGUUGGAUUUGACAAUUUUGAUUGUUUUGUAUAGCUUGCUUAGUAUGAUGUCAUUGAAUCAACAGCAGUUUCGGAACCUGAAAAAGAUUGAAGGUUCUGUCGUGCAUACACAUCAAAUUUUUCCCAAAGUGCACAGGCUUGUAAAAGGUCCUCUGGCGAAAUCAGUUCUAGAAAGAAGAGCACAAUAAUUAACUUUGGGAAACUACAGAACUAUAAGAAAGGAACAAGCCAAAAUCACAAAUACCUGUUCCUCUUGCACGAUUAAACAGACAGUAAACAUCUAUCAAUGCAAUCAUCCCUCCAGCCUUUUCAAGUGGUAAUUUGACAAAAUCUGCUAGCUGACAGAAAAUUAAACAGAACUGUUUCACGAAAAAUGAUCUGGCUUCUUAUUACAAGUGCUUUCUACCCAAGAAGAAAGGAGCAGCUGAUAACUGAAUGAUUACAGCAGGAAACAUAAGCAUUUUGUGCUUGAAUUUCCAAUUGUCUGUCUACCAAAUUCCUUCGUGCUGGCAAGUCAUUCACAUAGGAAUGGAUGUUUAUCCAUGUCCAACUCAAGGAUUUCGUAUUCUAUUCCAGCACGUGUAAGAGAGAAAUUGAGCAUUUAUCGAUCAGACUCAAACCACGCAUAUCCUGAAUUUUUGUUAGCAAGAAUAGCUAGGUAUAUAUCUCACGCUAGGUUUAGUAUUCAAGUAUCUCUAAGAAUCAAAAUAAUCAUAUAUUCGCAAGAACAGAUGAGCCAUUGUGCCAGCUUGAUAGAUUAGAAUUGGCAUAAUCAUUUGACACCAUACUUAUGUUCUUCAUCUACUAACUGCCACCUUAAGGCAAUCUUGAAUCUUAACAAUAUGUUCAUCAUUCUCAGAUUAAAGGCCUUGAACUGGAAUUUAGGAGGAAGAAAUACUCUGAACAGCCAAAAUUUAAAAUUUAAUUAUUACUAUCAGUUAGAUAGGUACUGGAUAAGGCGGUUAAUCAUUUGCAUUGUUUCAGCACAGUGCAAACUCUCAGCUACAUAGCUUUCAAGUGGCAUUUGCUAUGAAGGAUUCAACAUACCAACUUUAGACUUUCAUUUCAAGAAAUGCACUAAAGGAACAAAUUUUCUUAGUUGGAUUUGUUGGAUAAUGAUUCUUAGAAGUCAACCUGAAUAAAGUCAAAAUAACAAACUAAUAAAGUAGCUUAUAUUGGAACACCAUAUGAUAACAUGACUGGAAAUGUCAGUGUGAGUUAGAAUAUAAGCCUCUUCAGUUCUAUUAACAAGUAAUGUUUAUCUGCAAACAUCUGAAAAUGUCAUAUCCAAGGUUUCAAAAACCUAUAACGGAGGUGGUAUCGGAUUUUUGCUAGACCAGCAAGGAAGCAAUUUGUCCUGUGCCAACACAAGAUACAGGGCAGCAUCCUGGUCUCAUACCGGGACCCCCAAAGUCCCUCCUUUUUCUAAAUUAUUACUUCUUUUAAAUACUUUAAAUAAAAUAUUUGUUUCUUUUGAAGGUAUCUCCUCUCUUGCUGUCAUGGUUAAAACGAAGACCCAUGCACACAAGUGCAUGGAUUUGAAUCCCAUGUGCAACAUUAGUUUUACCAGCCCUUAAAAAAUAAAUAUUGUAUAUUUUUAUCCUCACUAAAUAUACAUAUAUUUUCUGCACAGAAAAACAAAUAUUAUAUAUUUAUCUCCUUACAAUAUAUAUAGAUAUGUAUAUUUUCCACACAGAAAAUAUUAUAUAUCCCUAAAUUAACAUUUAUAUUGGUAUUUUUGUUCAAGAUAUUAAUACAUUCAUGUUAGCCCACAAAAGUAAUUUUAAUGAUAUGCCUUUUCCAAACUAUUAUGUAUACUUUUCUGAAAUUAGUACAUUCAUGAAAUUGUUGCAAAAUAUACAGGAAUUAGAAAUGAUGAUAAAAAUAAUCUUAAUGAUUCAUCCAGAUAGUAAAGUAAUGAUUUUGCUGACAAAAAUAACUCAUCUAGACAGAAAAAAAAAUCAUUAUAAUUUUACUGAUGGCAUACCAAAAACUAUUGGGCAAAAUACUUCUUCCAAUGGCACAAAAAUAUGAAAACAUGCAAAAAAUUUAAAUACGAUCAGACAGAAAAUAAUAAUUUUAUUGAAAAAUUAAUAUAUCAGGAUAAUAGAAAAUAUUUAUUAUAAUUUUAAUGAUGACAUCUGAAAGGAACUCUCCUUUACUCCUCUAGCCCCGUGCAAGCAUGUUACUUAAAAUUUAAACCUAUAUAUUUUCAUAGCAAACAUAAACCUCCAACCCUUGGGCUAAAUGUCCAAUACUAUAAUAGUUUGGUACUUUUUAUGUAACUUUAUUCUUUUACUGAUUUAUACUUUUUUUUUAAAAAAAAGGAACACUCUUUUACUCCUCUAACCUCAUGCCUUAGCCCCUUUUACUCCUCUGCUCCUCCAUUCACCGCCUUAUGCUCCCCCUAUCUGCUUCCAUCCACUGUUCCCGUCUAAGGAGUCGUCGCCCUUCACCAUUGUCUUUGACAUCAUUGUAAUUGUCCUCUCAACGCCAACAUCAUGAAUGAGGUCUACCUGCUUCUUCUUCUCUCUCUCCCUCUCCCUCUCUCUCCCCCACAAUUUUUUUAUAUAUUAAGCCCCAUCAUGCCACCCUUCGAAUUGGUUGAGCCAAUCCCGGUACCCGCUAAUACCAACUUGUUUCAACAAAGUCACACAACCCAAGCAUUGUACGCAGCAAAACGGGCUUUGCAUCAGCAGCCAAGAUGCCCUAUUUUUCAGAUUUCAGCGAUCCGGGGGCAUCCCAAUGCCAGAGUCAUGCCAGAAUGGUAUAGUACCAGUUCUACCUCCCAUUCCGAUUGUAUUUAAGUCCUUGGUCUCAUCCAAGCUAUAACAAAUGAAUGGAACUAAAACAAAGCUCUAAGUGUGCAUGUAGGUACCUGACGAGAUAAUUGUUGAUGAUAUAGAGCACCUGCAGACUCUUUUGUAACUAGUGACACAAUACCAACACUUAGUAGCCAAUCCUGUAUCUCUUGCUUAGAACCCAACUCGUCAUCAUUUGCACUUGCUUGAGCAUUUGAACCUAAUAAUAGCUUUUGCCUCAUGUUCUCUGCCAGCUGCACCAUCUCCUUAGCUUUACUCUGCACAAGUCCCUCGCCUUAGUCCUUCUAGAGGAUGUUGGAAUAGCAAAAAAAAACCCAUGAAAGAGCACAUAAAAAGCUAUAGCAAACAAAACAACCAUUAAAAGAGUACAAUGGAAGCUUCUAUUGAACUAGAAUUUGUCUGGAGAACCUACAGAACAAUUAAGAACUACCAUUUUGACCCAAAUGGGCUCAAACAUUGGUAAUGCUUGUUGAGUGCUGGCACUCAAGUCUCAGGAGGAGAUGCUGCUAUAACUGUUAUUGAAAAGUUCUAUAUAUUCUUAUAAUUCACUAGAAAAAGAAGACAAAUCAAACUUGAUUAACUCUUGUACAAAUAUAUGCAACAGUUGUUUUUAGUCAUCACAUGAUACAUGGUUACAUGAACAACCAUGUGAAAAAUAUCCAAAUGUUCAGUUUUUAUGUCCAAUAAACUACAACUACAUACAAGUUGACAGUCAUGUAUGCACCUAAAUUCCACAGCCCACAAAAAAGUAUUGCAACAUGCUAUUUAUAAUACUGCCCAUAAUUAAUAAUAGUAGUUUAGCUAACUAUGAUGACAAAGACAGCACAUGCCCAAAAAAGUGUUAUGGAAUUGAUUCUUUCAAAAUUAAGAAAAGAAAAAGAUAACAAAAAAAGAAAUGACAUGAGACUAAAAACAAUAAAUGAUGUUACUGUUUGGCAGGAAUAUGAAAGUGUAUACCUCUAAAGGCAGUCUCAAACAUAAUAACAAAUUGUUGCCCUAUCACAUUUUUGAAGGUGUAUUGCAUUGAAAAGGUUAUUGCUUCUCCUUUGGACUUAUGUCAAAGAUUCCAAAGAAAUGUUAUCAGAGGCGAAAUAGUGCAAUUUUAUUAAAAAAUUAUAUGACUCACUCAUCUGUUCCAUUAAGCAUGUGUGAGGCAGUCAAAUCAUGUAGAGACAAAGGUUAGCAUCUAAAUGCAUAGGAGAAGAGAAAAGGCAGACCACAAAUGAGUGUCUGUAAAAAGUUUGUCAGUUUUCAAGAUCGUGAUUCACGCCCGUCUGUAUCACAUGGGGGGAGAAAAAGAAAAAGAGGAAGGAGGAGGAGGAGGAGGAGAAGGUGAAGUUAAACUGUAAAGAGGUUGAAUUUUGCAUGUUUCAUCUGUUUUUACUGUCAGAAGAAGUUUAACUGGAGUUCUAGCAGCCAUAAUACGUUGUCAUAAAUUCGCACGCGAUGUAUUAAAGACAGUAAGCAAAAUCACAUGAGGAUCUGGAACUAGAGAAGAAAUUUAAAAUGUGCAUUAAAGGUGGGAGGAAUAAUCUGGGAUUCAAGAGUCUUAAGACAUGUAUCCUUAAUUAAAAUGAUAAGGAGGGCCCAAAAUCAUAUGUUCUAACUUAUUAUGUCCUGGAAAUAGCUGCCUCAAAUAUAUCAAAAAUGUAUUUCAACUUCAAUCAAACAUAACAAAGCAACGUACAUCAUUUCAGAACGUACCAGUGGAAAGGAACGUAUAAUCCAAUGAAAGCAGAAUACGGAAACAAUUUAUUGCAGCUUUGCAUCAUACGUCAUUCAUAUAAACGAAUAGCUAUUACAUAAGCUUCUGGAUAUAGAGUAAAAGAUCGCAGCUUUGUACAUUCAAACUAGUAAGAUUACAGAAUUCGGUAUUCCAGUGGCUAUGAGCUCUAACUUCAAACCAAAAAAAAAGGAAGAAGAAGAAGAAUGGAAGUCAAUUACGAACCAUGAGAGCGUUCAGGUCGUGGAAGGCCUCCUGCAAGCUCUUGUCCGUGCUCUCCCACAUCUCCUGCUCUUUCCUGAGAAUCCCCGAAACCCCCACCACCGGCAUCCUCACCCUCGCCGAACCCUCCCCCGAUCCCGAUCCCCUCUCCCUCCCCUCCGAUUCCUCCGACGCCUCCCACGUCCUCGACCUCAGGACCUCCAGCAGCCUCCCGUAGAACACGUCGGGGUCGGUCUUUCCCCUCAUCACGAUCGUGACCAUCUCCGACCGCGUCCCCUUCUCCCCAACCCUACCGUCCGGCGACGUUGACACCUGGAUCCGGACCCUAGGGCUCGCGAACAUGUUCCGCAGCGACUUCUUAGGGUGAAAGACGUGGACCACGGCGGCGAGGGGGAUGGCGCAACCCGAGGAGGAGGAUUCGUCGAUCCACAGGAUCCGGUGGGAAGUGAGGACGAGGAGGCCGGAUCGGAGGGUGGGCAGGGCAGGAUUCUCCUCGGCCUCGAGGUCGACAGCAGACAGGAGGCAGCGCUCGAUCUCGCCGGGAAGGAAGACCGGUCGUCCGGAGGCAGUGAGGAGGACCGGCGGGAGCCAGUUCGCAGCCAUCGUCUGUGUGAGGAGAUUCGCCGGAGGCCAGGGAGAGAAGGGUUUGGAUUCGACGAGAGGAGAAAACAGAAGCGGCGAACUGAUCAGCUUGGAAUUGGAUUGCCUGUUUCACGACAUGGUUAAAUUGAGAUCUAAAUUUUUGACCCGCUUAAUAAAAUAGGUUCAGAUUGGCAGAUUUUUAAUUUAUUUGUACCCAAACCGAUCAAUGUCUGAUCCUCCCCGACUUGGGUGCCACCCCGAGCAGUCCUGCCAGUUUCCGGCACUCUACGUCUAAAUUUUUAUAAAAGCUCUACUUUAAAAAAUUCUAUUUUCAAUGACACUAUUUUCAAAAAUUUUACUGUCAAGUAUUUUUUUUUUUUUCAAACAUAGCCUAAAUAUUGAAAAUGUGAAAAGCACCCAAGACAUGAAUAUUUACUACCAUAACUUUGUCAUAUAAUUAAUAUAGUUAUUUUAAUUAUUUAUUUUUUCAAAUAUAUAUAAUAAAUUUGAAAUUUCAAUGUAGUAUUACAUAGGGGCACCAUAUUGGUAUAGUAUUAUUGUGCUCGAUAUGAGUCAAUUUAGCAUACCUACACUCGGUAUGCAUCCUGCACCGAAUAUCAAUUCAAUAUUAUUAUGGUGCAAUGCACAAAUAAACCUUGAGUAUAUAUAUUAUGUAAUUAGUAUUAAGGGGAUCUUGGGAUGGACCUGGAGAAUUUGUUGUUUCGUUAGUUUGUAGUGUGGUGUUUAAAAUAUAAAUAAUAAAAAUAUAUUUUAGUAUAUAUAAGAAUAAAUAUUUUUCUUUGAUACUAGUUUUAAAGAAGUAUACCAGCUUCUAUGAAUUUUUCACUAAUUAUUUAUCUUUUGUGGUAGAUUUGAGCUUGAUAAUUCUAUCAACAUCUACUAUUUGUCCAUAACAUGCCUUAUAAAAUAUUGGGCACGUGCAAGCCACCUAAGGUAUGAACAUAUACUAUGAUGACUUGCUCGUACAAUUAAUAUAGUUAUUUUGAUUAUUUUAUUUUUAGUCAAAAUAUAUAUAUAAUAAGUUUGAAAUCUAGAUAUCAAAUUAUAUAUUGGUACAGAAUUAUUAUGCUCAAUGUGAGUCAAUAUGGUAUACCAACACUUGAUAUAUCCCUUUACCGAAUAUCAACUCAACAUUGUUAUGGUACAGUAUACAAGCAAACCUUUAUAUAUAUAUAUAUAUAUAUAUAUANNNNNNNNNNNNNNNNNNNNNNNNNNNNNNNNNNNNNNNNNNNNNNNNNNNNNNNNNNNNNNNNNNNNNNNNNNNNNNNNNNNNNNNNNNNNNNNNNNNNNNNNNNNNNNNNNNNNNNNNNNNNNNNNNNNNNNNNNNNNNNNNNNNNNNNNNNNNNNNNNNNNNNNNNNNNNNNNNNNNNNNNNNNNNNNNNNNNNNNNNNNNNNNNNNNNNNNNNNNNNNNNNNNNNNNNNNNNNNNNNNNNNNNNNNNNNNNNNNNNNNNNNNNNNNNNNNNNNNNNNNNNNNNNNNNNNNNNNNNNNNNNNNNNNNNNNNNNNNNNNNNNNNNNNNNNNNNNNNNNNNNNNNNNAUAUAUAUAUAUAUAUAUAUAUAGUAUUGAGUGGACCUUUGGAUGGACUUGGAGAGUUUGUAGUUUCAUUGAUUUGUCAUGUACUAUUUGAAAUAUAUACAAAAAAAUAUUUUAGUAUUUGAGAGAAUAAAUGUUUUUCUUUAGCACUUUUAAAGAAUUAUAUCCAGCUUCCAUGAUUUUUUCACUAAUUAUUUGUCUUUUUUGAUAGAUUUGAGCUUGAUAACUCUAACAAAGUCCACUAUUUGUCUAUACCGCUUAAACAUUUUUUAUGAAUAAAUUGAUAAAUAAAUAUAUGGUUACAUUGUUCAGAAACUUGAUAUAAUUAUGUCUAAAUUGUUCCUAUCAGCUAAACAUGUGUUAGUGUUUCAUGAAAACUAAAAGUUUUUGCUAGGUUCAAACUGAGCUACAUAUUUAAAAAGGUAUGGUAAUCAACUAUAUCUGGUAGGCUGAGGAAAGAAAUGGGGAAAAUAUAAGUAUUGCUCUGGUGAUUAGAUGUGUUAAUUUGUUUUGCAAUUGAGCGGACUUCAAUGGAGAAGAUCUUUCACCAAACAUCUAAAUCCAUGAGUAUUAUUUCUUAAAAUAUAUAAGAUCACUGAAAGGCCACUUAGCUAUGCAAGUGCCAACAAAUUUAGUUAACAAUAAUGCAUUAUGUACAACUACAAAGUUUGGAACUAUAUUGUUCUAUGGUCAAAUGAUUCUAUGGAAUACCAAACAGAUUACUCAUGAAUAUUUAGAAAUUUUUAGCUACUAGAACGUAGUACACCAAAUAUGAUGAUCUUGAAUCAUUGAGAAUCUAAUUACUCUGAGAUAAAAAUUAUCAAUGAUCUAAAAUUAUUUCGAUGAUCCAAUCUAGGUCAUCAAAUGCUACUCAAAGAAAUUCAUAGAACUCUGAUAGGGAGACCUAAGAAGGGCCAGGACCGGACCGGUCCGGCAUGGUAAAAGAUUUUCCGGUCUCGCCCCGUCCGUUCUCUCACGACGAGAAAUUAACGGAUCCAACUCAUAGAAACCCUCUAUGUUCAAAACCAUCGUCGGUUGUUUCUGUUCUUUGCCAGCGUUCCACACAAAUUUCUCCCCUCUACUAUUCGAGCUGUCCAUCGUUGCACGACCACAGAAAUAGAAGAGAGAGAGAGAGAGAGAGAGAGAGAGAGAGAGAGCGCCAUCNNNNNNNNNNNNNNNNNNNNGCGCCCAUCGGAAGCCCCUCUGCUCUCUCCUCUCCUCUCCCUUCAGGCUUUCUCCCCGUCGAUCACGAGCUCCCUCAACCCUACUUUCCAUCCGUCGAGCUGGCGAUCUCGGCGAGAAUCCUCAAGAGGAAAUUCUAGAUCUUUGGGGCGGAGAAGCCCCCUCCACGCUGGAAUCGUUGGAAGGGGUGGCGGAGGGGAUCGGGUUUUAGGGUCUGACCGGAUUCGCGCCUGGAAGCGACGCCAGAGAUUUCGAAUCGUAACUCUUUCUUGGUUGGAUUGAAACCAAGGUUGGAAGCUGGAGGGUUUGGGUUUUUUUCUAAGAUCAUCGUUUUGGAACCCUAGAGUUGGGCUCUGGGUGCUUGGCUUUCGUAGAAUUAGGCGAAAUUGGUUGAGAUUUUUUUGUUGAAAGUGGGAAUUGCUAUUUUAUUGGAAUUAUUCCUUUUGUUAUUGUUCGUGGAGAAAAUGAGUAGUAGAAGAGAGGAAGAGAGGAAUGAGAAGAUUAUUAGAGGUCUCAUGAAGCUUCCGCCAAACAGGAAGUGCAUCAACUGCAACAGCUUGGUAUUUCUUUUAUUUUCUCUUCUUUUUGUAUGUUAAAUUCCACAUACUAUUUUUUCCUAAAUUUGUUGUGCAAUUUUGGAUGGCUAAUUUUGUGUUUAUUUAAUAUAUAUUUUUUAUCAAGGUAGACUUCUAAAUCCUCGUUCUUUUCUGGUAUAGGGUCCGCAGUAUGUCUGUACAAAUUUUUGGACCUUCGUCUGUACAACAUGCAGCGGGAUACAGUGAGUAUUUGGUUUACUUUAGUUACGAGAAAUUAGAUUUUUGAUUCUUUUACCAUCUUUUACCCAUCGCCAGAUUCUUUAAUCACCAAUUCAUUCUUUUCUUUAACUAUAUUUUGUUGCAAAACAAUAUGUAUUAAAAAGGUGAGUAAGCGAUGAAGAGUAAAGGAUGUUUCAUGCUUUUUGUUUAUUUUUUCCUUGAUUCUGAAGGAAUAGCUUUUAUCAUUUUGUCGCUGCUUUUAGAUUUGGUUAAGAGACAUCUGAGAAGGUUUUCAUAUUUCCUUUUUAUUUUCCUGACAUGGAUUUUAGACAUCCUCUUCUCAUUCCUUAUGCAAGGUCACCCAAUUCUAUAUGCCCUUUUAUGCUCAGUCAAGUCCUCUGACCCAUUUGCAACGCAGCAAAUUAGGGUUUUGCAAGGGAAAAGCAAUAUCAAGAAUCAUUCAAUGGUUUUCACGUGUGACCCCUGUGUAUACACUUGUUGCAUAAUGAAAUCGACAGUAACUUUGAACUGAACUCGCAUAUUUGAAGCCCUUAGUCAUCUGAUAUGUGUUUUUGUGGUCCGUAUUUUGAUAGUACUGCAACUCCACCGUCACAUGAACUUUCUGACAAUUUCAUCCAAGGUCUGCAUACCAACCUGUACCGUUCUGCAUUGACCGCACCGUAGUGUUUUGGUAAGGUAGUAUGUUACCAAGGCUUGCUUUGGUAUAUGAGCCAAACCAAUUCAUACCAGUUUGAACCGAACAAUACCAUCUUGUAUCAUCUGGUAUUUACUCAUACCACCCGAUUUUUGGCGGUAUUAUGAUUGGGAACGAGAAAAAAGUGUUGGGAGCAUAUUUUUGGUUUGGGUGCAUAUUGUACCUUACAUCUGUACCAUAUGGAACUUAUAAUGUACUGGUACAAUUCUUGGUACCAGUUUUGUAGACUUUGAUUUCAACUCUUGGUUUUGAUGUAAAUUGCUUUCUAUAACAUACAGCCGCGAGUUUACUCAUCGGGUGAAGUCAGUAUCAAUGGCUAAGUUUACCAAAGAAGAAGUUGAUGCUCUUCAAAGGGGUGGCAAUCAGGUAACUGCCAGCCUAUGUCCUUUCCGUCUAGGAUGAGUUGUCAGUUCUACUCUCAUGUGAUAUUACUUGUUGUAGCGUGCGAGAGAAAUCUUUUUGAAGGACUGGGACAUGCAGCAGAUGAGAUUGCCUUAUAGCAGGUAAAAAAUGAAAUUAUUAUAUUACUUGAACUAGUUAAACUUGAAAAUUAUGUUUCGUAUAUAACAGAUGAUGCGGGUUAGUAAUUUGGCUUUUAUGUUUUAUCAUUCCAGUAAUGCUGAUAGAAUUAGGGAAUUCAUAAGAAAUGUUUAUGUGAACAAGAAAUAUGCUGGGGGGCGAACCUCUGACAAGCUGUCUAGUAAUACAGAGGUAAUGUUUCUGAUCGAACCUGUACUUCAGGCUUGAAAUUUUAUUCUUUGUACAUCCUAUAUUUUGAACUUUGCUUCUGUUUUCUUUCACAGUACUGUAUGCUGUUCAUGCACCCAGAUUUUUGUUCCAAUUCUAACACUAAGGUGUUCAUGCUUUGGACAGAGCCUCAAGAAUCAUGAAGAAAAUCAGAGGAGGGCUAGUUCUUAUCAUUCUUAUUCUCAGAGCCCACCUUAUGAUUAUCAGUAUGAGGAUAGGCAUUAUGGAAAACAAUUUAGCAUGCUUGCUAGAAGGCCAGGUUCGGAUCGAGGGCAUUAUGAAGGGAAAAUUAAUCGCUUCAUUUAUAGUCCAAGUCGCUUACGCGAGCAGAUGUAUGAUGACAGAUUUGCUAAUGAAAGUUCUGGUUCGAGAUCAUCGGACUUCUCGGUAUCCAGCACAGGUGAUCCAUUCAGAUAUGAUGGCCAGUCACCAAAUUCUCAGGACGCUGAAUAUUGCAGCCCUCGUUUACACCAAGUAAGGAAAAUCUUAGUUGAAGAAGCACAGCCCCAGAUAUUAAAUAGGCAAUCAGAAGCAAAUGUUCAGGGGAACUUAGAUGGGAUCGCACGCCCACAGGUUAUUGAUCUUUCUCUGUAUUCACUACUCAUGUUUAUGUCCUGUCCUAUCAUUUUUCAUGUCAUGGAUAAAGUAGCUUUGGUUAUAAAUGAGAAAUCAUUUCUUUGUUCAGAGAACUGCAUCUACAGGCAGCUUUGGAUACUCUAAGAGCUUCUCCUUGUCUCAUAGAUCAGUUGAUUCAGGUGGUUUAUCAGAUGAUGUUGUUGAGCGUGUCCGUUCUACUGAAACUCAUCAGGCAGUGCAAUCUGCAUUCACUUCUUCAACACAAACGUCUACUUCUUUGCAUGCUACAAAGCAGGAUCCCUUCAACUUAACAUUUGUUGGAUCACCAAUGACUUCUUCAACUUCAUCUAUAGAUUUGUUUGCUGAUUUCAGUAAUCAACAUUCAUCUGUAACUCCUCUUGAUCAGAAACCAUCCACAGCUCCCUUCUCAGAAAAUGAAGGAUGGGCUACAUUUGACCUACCUCACCAUGCUGGAGUUGCUUCUGAAACAUAUGCGAUGGUCCCUGCUUUAGUUUUUCCUGGUGUUGGAGCAUCCAAGGGGACUGAAAAUGCAUCAACAUUAAUGCAAAACAAUUCACAGUGCUUUUCAGUUCAGAGUUCUGUAGCUCCUGCACCAUUUACACCAACAGAUGGUCAGUGGCAUGCAGGUAUACAUGAAGAUAAAAGCUCUGCAGAUCAGAAAAGCUCCCAGGUGAAGAACUAUUGACAUAACUGCUUGCACUAGUGAUGAUAGAUCUAUUGUUCUUUCAGAAGGCUUCCUUGGGGUAAAUGUUGGGCAAGCAUUGCACCGUUGCCUCAUGUAUAGUAAUAGAGCCUAAGACCUCUGUGAUAUUCUAACAAUUUAUUGUUGUUGUGGUUUGUUGCAGUUGUGGAAUGCUUUUGAUGAUUCUACUGGGAACAUGUCUUGUACUUUGUUUGGGAGUCUACCACAGAAUAAUAAUUCACAGGUUACAGUGUCCACGUCUAAAUUGGGUGAUCCACAUAUUGGAUUGAAACUCCCAGAGGUGCUACCAUGUCUGUUGCUUUUUGUUCAGGUUAUAUAAAAUCUCUGCAUUCUAUUCUUAUAAUUUUGAUUCGAUUGCAGAACACUAUUAACGAUGGGCUUCAGAAGCCAGCUCUGGAUGGUACAGCUACCCAUUUUAAUCUGCCAUCUAGGGAUGUCAAUGGAUCACCAUUUUCUCUGCCAGUUCGGCCUUUGAUGGUUUGUAUAUUUUCAAGCUUUCAUCAUGCUAAUUUGGUUUUUAGUUGUGUGCCCGAGUGGUUGGUAAUGCUAUGUAGAUGGUGUAAAUAUUCACCUACCUUAUAUUAGUGCAAUUAUGCCUGCCCUUGUCUUCAUUCUUCAUGCCCUACUUUACAUGGUAAUUGUUUUCUUUUUAGAAAAAUAAUGAAGUUGGAGAUUUUGUUGCCCUUGAUAAAGCUAAAUGAUCCAACUUCACAGUGUAUAGUGGCAACAAAACAAAUGGGUGAGGGUAAGAGGCCUAGGUGCUUAGUUGAUCAUCAUGGAUUGUACUUGCUUUCUCAUAAAUAAGUUCAUGGAGUUCAAUAGUAUAAUUACCUGUUGCAUGUUUGGUGUUUGGAAAUUUAAACAACAAUUGAAGGUUUUUUCAGUAUAGCCAGUGUUGAGCACAAGAUGCAUGUGAAACAAAAGAAGCAUCUAUAAAUCAUUGGUUGCUUGCAGCCAGAUACUGCAAUGACAACACUGAUAAUGAUUAUUCAUAUAAUUGUUUUUUCUAAUGGGGCCCAUGGUACUUGCAUUAUGGUUGGUAAAUUUAGGUACUCUCUGAACAUGAUAACUUGCAUUUAAGGCAUUGAUAAUGUAUUCAGUGUGGAUAACACCUAAUGCAAACAAUCUUCAGUACUAUAUGGCAUGGAAACCCACCUAGAAAAAAAAUAAUUAGAUGGAUGAUACUGAUCAUAUGUUUACGAAUAUGUAUUUGUAUAUACAUAUGUAAAAACAUAGAUACAUGUAUACAAUAUACAAACAUAAACAUACAUACAUACACACACACUUAUAUAUAUUACAUAUUUUAUGUGUAUUCAUACAAGCACUACACAUAUAUUACAUCUCUAUCUACAUGUAUAUGUGUGUAUAUAUGCAUAUGUAUAUACACACAUGUAUGGACAUACAUAUGUUUUCCUGCUUUCAUGCGCAUACUUAAGAAUAGGAAAAUUCUCAUGUUUUUCUCCCUUGCUUGUAACACAUGAAGGACAUGGGUGAAAGUAUUGCAGUUGUCUUAAGUUGAAAAUCCAAUAUCAAAUUCUGGAUACACUCACACACUUAUAGUGACAGGCACAUGCAUAUCUAGUAUAGGAGGCAAACGCCCAUACAUGUUGCUCUGUCUUAUAAGUUGUUUAUUUGUGUUUUGCAGGAAGGGUCUACUCAGGCAAAAAAAUCAAUAAAUCCUUUCGAUCUUCCAUAUGACUCAAAUUUGGAAGCCAACAAUUCGGUAUGUUGAACUUUUGUGAAUUCUAUAUGUAGAUAAUAAUGGUAAAGAUAUGGAAUUCUUUGUAACUUUCUUCUUCUAUCUCUUAGUAUGUAGUUAAGAGUAUAGUAUCAUCUUAAAGAGAUGAUUAAAAGAAAAUAAGGCAUCCCAGUGCACGAAGCUUCGCCACUGGAGGGUCAGAUAUAUGGGGCUUUUCCUCUGUAUGUGGAGAGACUGUUUCUAUUUUAUGAACCUGUGACACACAGGUCAUGAUGGAGCAAUCUUACCAUUGCUCCAAGGUCCGAUUCAGAGAGAUGAUUAGAAGAAGGAUCACAAAAAUAUAGUAGUAAGUCCUAGUCAACCUAAGGGUGAUUGCCGAGAAACACAACCCUUAACAGCAAUACUACCCUUAGCAGGAUCAUCUACAAUAUCAUUAGCUUGCAUAAAACAAGGGAAGGAAAUGAUUAGAUUCAAGGCUUCCAUAAUGAAUUGUGCUUUAACUGUAAUCUAUGCAUUUGAACCAACUUUAUGGUCAAAGUUCACUUUCAACAUUCUUUUAUCACUCUGUUAUUUUUCCACAUCAAUCAAGUUAUUCCAUUUUCUCUGGAUUUGUUUUUAAUUUUCAAGCAUGGGAGGUUUUAAGUCUUCUAUACUUCACACAUGGUUUGUCAACUUUAUGGUUGGGCUCUAGACAUGGUCAUGUCAAAC
rnacentral:lncRNA from 1 species